UAGAGGGCGUAUUUCUUCUUCACUAUUUUGUUUUUUCUGCUUCUCCUCACAUCUGGCUUCUGCCACAACUGGCAGCAGAAAUGCUGACCUGUCAUGAGAAAGGCUUUCUGGGGGACACGUGGCCUGGGCAGCCGCAGCAAAAGCAGCAGGAAGUACAGGAAAUCUCAUGAGACGGUCUGUUCUUGGGCACUUGCCAGCCUGGUUCUGCAGCCUCAUGAGGCAAAGAGAAGCAUCCAAGUGACUGGGGACAUCGCUGGAACAGAGUCCCCAUUCUCAGCAGUUCGAGGUCCACCCAUAACUGACAAAAUGAGCACAGGACACCCCCGUGGGGCUCCAGCCACAGCCGGUGGCCAUGGUGCUCUAUGUGGAGAUACUUUUUAUUCUAAUGGCUCCACGCGCCCAGGGAGCCCGAGAGUUAAUACUGGCUGUGAAAGGCAUCAAGCAAGGCUUUCUCUGCACGCGCUAGAAUGUGCCGGUUCACGGGGACCUCCUCCCGAGGCUGAAAAUGUGCAGAGCAGAGCUGGGUAUUGCCAGAAGCUUGGUGGAUGACAGCCUGGAAUGGGCCCUGCCGGUCAGAAGCCUGGGGCCCCAACACUGUGGUCCGUUGAGGGUUAUCAUCUGACUUGCCUCCAGGGAUGCUAAUAAGGUCCCCCUUAUGCACGCAGCAGGGUGAGAGCAUUCCUGGCCGCUGCUAAUUUGCAAAGAAGGCUUGAAAUAACUGAAUUAUAAAAUGCAAUUGCAGAUAUGUAUGCUCAAACAAUUCGUCUUUCUAAAGGGAGCUCAGCUAUUACUCUAAAUGGGUUUCCUCCUGCCUUCUCCCCACUGCGUACAGCUGCCUUGGUGAUCUGAGCCACCCUGCCCACUCUUUUUCAACACACAUAAAAUUCGAACGGUGAGAAUUUCUUGAAGAGAUGACUAAUGCAGAUAAGAAAAUUAAAGAUGUAUUUAAAAAAAAAAUUCCAAAGCCUGGGAGUGACCCACGUACUUCAGAUAAGAGGGCUGCUGUUCAGUUUCUGCUGGGCAGGGGUGGGGGCGGCAGGGUUUUCGUCACGACUUCUCCUGGGCAAAUGCUGAAAAGCCACUGUCCCCACUGCCACCACCACUGACAACAGAAAAACACACAAGAAGCCUUUGCCACGCAGAUUUGCUUUCGGGCUGAACAGACAGAUGUUUUCUAAUUAGCAUCUAUCAACCUUAGGGCUAUUAUUAAAAGUUGGUUCUUUUGGUUUUAUGGUAAAAAUCUCUUAUAAGUAAUACCAUAAUCAUAAAGAUGUUCAAAUAAAGUAAACAUUUCAAGUCCCUGCCCA
rnacentral:lncRNA from 1 species